rnacentral:lncRNA from 1 species
CUGAAUUCUGUUUUUAUUAUAAUUGUUUCUUCUUUACUCUUCUAUGCUUAAGGGAUCUGCUCAUAUAAAUGACUACAGGAUAAAUAAAGCUGACAAACACAAGUGACUGUAUCUUUUGGCAUUAAGAUAAUUAUAGAUCAUUACACGGUAGGAAUAGUCAAUAGCCCUAAAGUAAUAUGAUUAAAUAAAGCACUUUAAAACUGUAAUUCACCUAGCCUUUUUAAUAUUUUACUAUUUCUUCUUUGUUGCUCUAAAGCUAUGAAUUUUAAGAUUUAUUUGUCACUACUCUCUAUAUUUUCUGCUGUACACAGUAUUUGUGGGCUAUGGCAACCAAUCCCCUUGGGCUUUCUUUUGCUUUAAUUUGCAUAAACACAGGCAUCAUAUGAAUAUUCAGUGAGUGGCUUUGCAUUAAGUAAGUGCCCUUAAUCAGCUUUUCAGUUCAGUUUUAUUGGUUGCACGCACAGUCAGUUAUUUCAUCCAGAAAAUCUGAAGGCCCUACAAACUAACCAGAGGUCCCAAGUUGUCUCCAGUCUCUUCAUUGUGUUUUGUGUGAAACCCAUCACAGAACGGGAAAUUUUGGGACCUCCAACAACGGCAGUACACACCUUUCCAAGUCCUCCAUGUCAAAAGCAGGGAAUAUCUGUCUGGAAUAUGGCUCAUUUGUGACCACGGACGAUGAGAAGUGAAUCUACUGGUGAUCAGUAGGUAGGCAGGAGAAUGAGGACUAACACCCUGAAUUUUACUGCAUCCCAUGCUUCCGAACAACUGAUGAUAAAGAAGAGGUUAAUGUUCCCCUCAGCUUGGCUCAACUUGAGACAGCCUUCUUCUUGACUCUAUGCUCUUGACCUCCCUUCUCUUAGAGCAUUUAGUUUAGCAAACUUGAACUUCUAAGUUCUUUCUUUGCCCCUUUGAGAUGUAAUUCUCCCAGACUUUGGCCAGUUUUCCAAC